rnacentral:tRNA from 1 species
UUCUCAUUAGCUUAAGAUUUAAAGCAAGGCUCUGAAGAAGCUUAGAUUUUAGAGAAA